ensembl:lncRNA
AAGCGGAGUAGCCCGGAGGUCCGGGCCCCUCACUUCACAGGCCCGUGGACACCAGUGACAACUCAGUCCUCCCGGCCCCGGCAGGAGCGCCCGGCCCAAGGGCUGGUGCCCGCCGCCGGGGCCCCCGGAAACCCCGCUCACCCUGGUCCCGUCCCCCCGCCUUCAGAAGCCUGGGUCUCAGGGGGAGUCUGCAUCACCAGAGGGUUUGGGAUCCAAGGGCAAACAUGCACCCCAACAGUCUGUUGGCGCCCCCCGCGAGCCAGCAGCCGCGAGUCGUGCCGAGGCGGGGGAAAGGGGACCCGAGGGGCAGCACGACACACCCCCGCCAGUGACAGGGCUUCGCCAGCCAAGUGUGCAGGGCCCUGGGGCGCCGCCUUCACCUCGGUCCGCACGGAGCUGGUCCUCGCCCUCCUCCCCGCGGCGCCUGGGAGCCGAGGGAACCGCGGGUCCGGGGCUNNNNNNNNNNNNNNNNNNNNNNNNNNNNNNNNNNNNNNNNNNNNNNNNNNNNNNNNNNNNNNNNNNNNNNNNNNNNNNNNNNNNNNNNNNNNNNNNNNNNUCUCCCUCACCCCUGUGACUCUUCCCUCGUCCCGCGCCCCCUCCCUCGCCCCUGCGGCUCCUCCCUCACUUCAUCCUCCCCGCCUUCACCCCUGCCCCCCUCAUCCCUGUGCCCCUCCCUCACUUCCUCCUCCCUUCCUUCACCCCUCCCUCAUCCCUAUGGCCUCCCUUACUCUUUGCCCCCUUCCUUGUCCCACACCCCCUCCCUCACCUCAUCCUCUCCCCCACAGCCUUCUCCCUCACCCUUGUGCCUUCCCUUGCCCUCUCACCCCUGCCCCCUCACUCAUCCCUCUCCAGCUGCCUGACUGUGCUCCUCACACACAGCAGGUGCACUUGGCAUGUGCUCAGUUGCACCGGCUGCGCUCCCCCUGCCCGGAUGCUCACCCCCAGCUGUCUGCUUGGCUCCCUGCCACCUCCUGGGAGCUCCGACUGCUCUGGGCGCACCCAGAAGGGCGGGCGGGCUCCGGACCGCAGCAGGAAAGCAAGUAUUGCAACCAAGUGCCGCACAAGAGCGGGUGAGGCAAUGUCAUGAGGACAGAGCCCCGUGUCGCACGGCCGUAGAGGCGUCCCGGUGACCUCGUGGUCAGUCAGCGCCAGGUGGCACGAGGCGGCAGGCCCCUCGGCGCCGUUCAUCCGAAGCCGUUCAUCUCAAAGACCUGCUGCCUGGACCCCACUCCGCAGGGGCUCUGACUGAUGGGAGGAGGGGAGUGGACACGCAACGCUGGCAUUUAAACAUUUUUUAAAUGUUUAUUUAUUUUUUGAGAGACAGAGUGUGAGCAGGGGAGGGGCAGAGAGGGACACACAGACUCGGAAGCAGGCUCCAGGCUCCGAGCUGUCAGCACAGAGCCCGACGUGGGGCUCGAAUUCACAGACCGUGAGAUCAUGACCUGAGCCGAAGUCGGACACUCAGCCGACUGAGCCCCCCAGGCGCCCCCACACUGGUAUCUUAAAAGUGCCCUGCUGAUUCUGUGGGGCAGCCAGGGCCCAGGCACUCGGCGAAGGCUUGGACUCGGAGCAGGUGGAGACAUGAGUCCGGCCCUCAGGUUAGGACGUUCCAAGAAACACCGAUUCCCCACCUGUGGGCACGUUCCUCAGUUAUGAGUCACACAAAUGCACCGAAAAAACCCACAUCUGACCCCGGGAGCCUACAGUUUAUGACAAGGCGGGUGGUAAGUACCGUCAUUCUCCAGAUCUUCCCCUCGCUCACCUGCGGACAGGUUUACCGGCAAGCGAAUUACUAGGGUGGUGUGGGCCGCAACAGGCCAGGGCAGCCCGGCCCCCAGGUGACACGGCCCGCGCCCCCCGCGGCGGAGAGUCACUGUCAGGGCCGAGAGCCUGGGGCCUGUCCGCAUGGCUCCUUCCUCCAAGCCCCAAGCUUCCCUCACUCAAGCCCGUGCCUCAGCGAGGACGGCGCGCCGUCUGGAAGGGAAGCGCCCCUGCGCUGGUGCCUUCGGAGGCCUCCUCUCUGCAAAUGUCCUGAGGUCAGGGUUUCUGGGACCGGGCCUCCCCACGCCGUGUGCUCUGCGGCCGGAUGAGAGCUGGGGCCCAGAUGCUGCCACAUUCACUGCUUAUCUCGGGCUCCUUUUGGGAGGAAUGCGGACGCGGAGUGGGGGGAAGCACGAGUGAGGCUUUCCUGUUUCUCCAGCCCUGCCCCCCUCAUGCCCCCAUUCUCUAAGAGCCUGUGGCCAAGUGCCAGGACCCUCACCCCUGCAAGCGGCCGCCCCCCUGCCGCUUCCUCGGGGUGGUGGGGGUGCCUCUGUGCAGGGAUCCUCCUGUGAGGCUGGGAGGCCUGAGUGUCAGGUGACACUGAACCACAUGGGACCCCUCAGCAGCUUGCCGGUGGGAGCCCAUGACCUCCCUCCUUCUGGAAAGUUCCAGAUGAGAUUUGGGUCUAUCAGCUUCCGCAAACCUGGCAGUCACCAGAGGGCCAGGGUUCAGCAAUCAACAUCCUCAGGGACGUCCUGCUUUUGGGUCAAUGCCUCAUCCUCACUCGGAGAACAAGGGCAGGAAAUGCACUGUGGCCACCUGCUUCCUGUGUUGGGAGAAGGGAAGUCCCGAGACCACCUUAGGACUCAACCCUGGGGGUGGGGUGAGUGGACAAUGGCGGGCCACCAAGGGGACAGGGGGGCAGGAGGGGGAGGAGCCCAGGGUCAUGGGGAGGAUGGAGGCUGCAGGGGAGGGGCGCCCACGGAGGAUCGCACGUGCCCUCCCCCAGGCCCCUCCUCCCAGGCGGCAGGUCCUGUGGGCCCAGAAAAGAAGGGGGCACAGCAUUCUUCCUGAGCUUGCUCCCAGCGUCCAUCGUCGGGACUGGAUGGGGCACCCAGAGCCCUGAGGCGCCCUGGGCUGGUUUCAAGGUGGGGGUGGUGACGCUGCUUGGGUAGGGGUCCCUCGGCCCAGUGGCCUUGUUUGUCGUCUCCUUGUUAGGGACCACUUGUCGGGCAACAGAAGGGAGCAGGGUGAGUGGGUGGACUCAGUGCUGGGGGGAUGGAAGGAUGCUUCCCCAGGGAAGAGUGCGGGGCGGCACCCCAGGAGCAGCUCGGGGUGAGAGCAGGGGCCAUCCAGUCAGCCCUGGCAUUGGCGCUGGUGCCUCGCACGGGUCCUUGGAGAGGGGUUCUGCUUUUCUCCAGUUUUGUGGGCAAGAGGGCUGAGCACAGAGAAGCUACAUGGGUGGCCAAGGUCAGCUCCGGCUCGUGCGCUGCUCUGUCGUCUUAGCAUUUCCCAUGUCGCACGGACAAAGGCCAGGAAGCCUCGGUAGCACCCACGCUGCAGGGCAGAGCCUUUACCCAGGGCCACCAAGCUCCAGAAGUUUCCAGCAUUAGGCUCUUGAGGAGCACCCUCUGGGGGUCCCAGUACUCGCACGUGCCCUGGGGUAAGGGGAAGGCUCUGGAAGGUCACUCAAGUCUGACCAAGGCCCAGAGGCCCACCUGCAGCCUCUCCCUGUCCUGUGCCGCUGGACUCUGGGACAGAUGUGUCCUUUGCCCAUGGGUGCCCUGGGCCCCCUGCUCAGGGUAGAAGCGGGGACCCCGCAGGAGUGCGAACCAUCACCCACUAGCGUCCCCAGGAGGCCUGUCUAGACCAGGGCUCUGGCACCUGCAGGGCCGACUUCUUCCGGUGGAACCGCCGGGUCACAGGGCACGCUGGCUCCAGCCCCGGGCCCCAGACACAGCCAGUCCGUGCGCCCACUUCCAGAUUCCCACGGAGCUCAACAUCUUCGGGGCUGCUCGCGGGAAGUUGUGCGGGACUCCACCGCCCACACGUGCCCCAGGCUCCCAAGGGCUUGGGGGGGGGGGGUGUCCAAGAUCCCAGUUCCAGUGCAGAAGUGGGGCCUGUGAGUUGUUAACCUUAAAAAUAAAACUUCCAUGGGGUGCCUGGGUGGCUCGGUCAGUUAAGCGUCCCACAUCAUCUCACGUCACGAUCUCACGGUCUGUGGGUUCGAGCCCCAUGCGGGCUCUGUGCUGACAGCUCAGAGCCUGGACCCUGCUUUGGAUUCGGUGUCGCCCUCUCUCUCUGCCCUUCCUCCACUCACGCUCUUUCUCUCAAAAAUAAACAUUAGAAAAAAAUAAAAUAAAACUUCCAGUUGUUUUACCAGCAAUA